GAUGUGUUAGGGGUUAGUCUUGGAAAUGGUAAAGGAAUAUAGAGCUGAUUUGAAGAAUGAGAUAAACUCCAUAGCAACAACCUGAUCAGGCAGGGAAUUCUCCAGACUGAUAGACCUAAGUGAGUUUGAGCAACCUUGUACCUGUGUUCAGUGUUUCAUGGCCCCCUAUAAUUUUACUAUGCCUGGUGCCCACACAAAUAAAAAUUAAAUAAAUAAACAACUGUCCUCUCCAUGGUGUCCCUUUAUUAUAACCAAUGCCACUGCCCAUCUAGCUCUAUGUCCCACAGUGUGUGAAGACAGCCUUUAUAAACAGUUUAAAAGGUAUAGAUAGAUAAGUUCGUUCACUUAUGUUCCCCUCACCCUAAAACCCCACUUAUCCAACAGGGAGCUUCUUAGUGAUAGAGAGGGAAACAGUUAUGAAGUAGUGGGUCAAGGGGAAGGAGCCCCUCCCUUGUAUGUAAUAGCUCAUUUUUACUGUAGAUGGAUAACAAAUUUUUAUAGGGGUUGUGCUAUUCUACAAUUAAUUAUAGUUCAGGUUUGGUUUCAUCAUUUGUGUUGUGUUUUAUGUCAAAUUAAUUCCUUCUUUAUUUACAGGUUACUGGGACAAACAGCUUGACUGAUUUGUUGACCAAGACUGUUUGUAGUUUGGGCUUUGUUCAACCAUAAACAAAGGAUGGCUGAACAACUAUGUCCCCUGGAUCUUUCAACUAAACCUCUUUCAGGUUUAGCCAUGAAGCUGCCUAAAAGUGCACCUUAUAACAUGCCGAAGACUGUUAUAAAGGUAUCAAUGAAGUCAAGAUCCCAUUCCUGCGAGCCACACAGUGACAAAAUAAAUGACCACAGGACAUAUCUCCCAAGCCAGCAUGUGGAGGUGGAGGUAAAUGUUGAAGAGCUAGCUCCACCUGAGGCCUCUG